rnacentral:rRNA from 1 species
AGUGAACGCUGGCGGUAGGCCUAACACAUGCAAGUCGAACGGCAGCACAGUAAGAGCUUGCUCUUACGGGUGGCGAGUGGCGGACGGGUGAGGAAUACAUCGGAAUCUACUUUUUCGUGGGGGAUAACGUAGGGAAACUUACGCUAAUACCGCAUACGACCUACGGGUGAAAGCAGGGGAUCUUCGGACCUUGCGCGAUUGAAUGAGCCGAUGUCGGAUUAGCUAGUUGGCGGGGUAAAGGCCCACCAAGGCGACGAUCCGUAGCUGGUCUGAGAGGAUGAUCAGCCACACUGGAACUGAGACACGCUCCAGACUCCUACGGGAGGCAGCAGUGGGGAAUAUUAGACAAUGGGCGCAAGCCUGAUCCAGCCAUACCGCGUGGGUGAAGAAGGCCUUCGAGUUGUAAAGCCCUUUUGUUGGGAAAGAAAAGCAGCAGGUUAAUACCCCGCUGUUCUGACGGUACCCAAAGAAUAAGCACCGGCUAACUUCGUG